AACAAGAUUACAAUUGCGGCUCUUAACCAUAUUGAUAGCAAGAGGAGGCAUGACAAGUUUAAGGCUACUGAUUCUCCCUUCCUAAUAAUUUCAUUUCCCAUUGACGAAAUGUUUUUUCUUAAGUUAUAUUUUGUAAUUGAGAAAAUUUUACAAAAGCUAAGGAAUUUAUCUCAUCAACUAUUAGUAUCUAUACCAUCUAUGAUUUAU
rnacentral:lncRNA from 1 species